UCAAGAAUGAAGCGACUCGCGCCGAUAGUCGCGCUGUCCGCGAGCCUUCGCCAGAAUUUCCUUAGGAUUACGUUGCCAUCGGACAACGAGAUCGGCCUCCAAAACAGUGCGAGCACGAGCUAUUCUCGCGAAAGAGGAGAAAGGUAAGGUCGUGACGAAGAGGAAUGAAGUGCAACGAGCGUGACUGACGAGGACAGCUUUCAAAAUAUCAGGCGAGCCUGGCAGAACCUAAGCUUUGCUCGGACGAUGAUAGCAUCGCACACCUCCUCGCGAGACACUGCGCAGCGGCGCAGUGAAUCGAAACAAUAAAAUCAGUGAACAUGGUCUAAAAAAAUAAGAUCGUGGUUUUUCUUCUCAAACUAUGAAAAAUGUACUUUAGAAUGAUUAAACUAAAAUAAUUAAACUAAAA